rnacentral:rRNA from 1 species
CAGCCGCCGCGGUAAUACCGGCGGCCCGAGUGGCGGUCACUAUUAUUGGGCUUAAAGCGUCCGUAGCCGGGUUGGGAAGUCCUCCGGGAAAUCUGGCCGCUUAACGGUCAGAAUGCCGGAGGAUACUCCCAGCCUAGGGAGCGGGAGAGGCCGAGGGGAUUCCCGGGGUAGGGGUGAAAUCCUAUAAUCCCGGGAGGACCACCUGUGGCGAAGGCGCUCGGCUGGAACGCGUCCGACGGUGAGGGACGAAGGCCAGGGGAGCAAACCGGAUUAGAUACCCGGGUAGUCCUGGCUGUAAACGAUGCGGACGUUGUGUCGGACAAGCUAUGAGCUUGUCCGGUGCCGGAGGGAAACCGUUAAGUCCGCCGCCUGGGGAGUACGGCCGCAAGGCUGAAACUUAAAGGAAUUGGCGGG